UACAGAGGUCUCAAGCGUUGUUCGGAUUCAUUGGGCGUAAAGGGUGUGUAGGUGGCGCGCUAAGUCGGGUGUGAAAUUUCGGAGCUUAACUCCGAAACUGCAUUCGAUACUGGCGUGCUUGAGGACUGGAGAGGAGACUGGAAUUCAUGGUGUAGCAGUGAAAUGCGUAGAGAUCAUGGAGGAAGACCAGUGGCGAAGGCGGGUCUCUGGGCCGUAACUGACGCUGAGGAGCGAAAGCGUGGGGAGCGAACAGGG
rnacentral:rRNA from 1 species